GAGUUCGUUGGUUUCUUUCGCUCCUCGCGCCGUCGUCGGGCCGCCUCGCGCGGUCCGUGCGGCGGGCACGGGGCGGAUCAUCUCGGAUCCGGAGUACAUGAUUGAUAGGGACGGUCGGGGCCGCUUGCACCGGGUCGCGAGGGGUGAAAUCCUAGGACCGAUCCGAGGCAAACAGGUGCGAAGGCGUUCGGCAAGGACGUUUUCAUUAAUCAAGAACGAAAGUUGGGGGAUCGAAGACGAUCAGAUACCGUCGUAGUCCCGACCGUAAACGAUGCCGACCGAGGGCCCGGAAACGUUACUCGUCGUACGACUCUGCGGGCCCUCCUCGUCGAGAAAUCGGGAGUAUUCGGGUUCCGGGGGGAGUACGGUCGCAAGUCUGAAACUUAAAGGAAUUGACGGAAGGGCACCACCAGGAGUGGAGCCUGCGGCUUAAUUUGACUCAACGCGGGGAAACUCACCGGGUCCGGACACGGUAAGGAUUGACAGAUUGACGGAUCUUUCUCGAUUCCGUGGAAAGUGGUGCAUGGCCGUUUCUAGUUGGUGGAUCGAUCCGUCUGGUUUAUUCCGUUAACGAACGAGACCUCGACCUGCCGAAUAGUUCGGUCCACGUGGCCCUCGGACGUACCCGUCCUCGCGGCGGUGCGUUCCCGGGCGGUCGUCGUUGGGCUACCGGACGUUGACACGUACGGCCUCCCGUUCCCGGAGGUCGCGUCCCGUGGCGUGUCCCCUCGGGGGCACGUGAAGGGGCGCGGUCCGACGGGUGCGUGGGGGGAAGGGCGCGGUCCGACGGGUGCGUGGGGGGAACUUCUCGGAGGGACACUCCGCGCUCCCAAGCGGACGGAGGUGAGGCGAAAACAGGUCUGUGAUGCCCUUAGAUGUUCCGGGCUGCACGCGCGUUACAGUGACGUACUCAACGAGCUUCCCGGCCCGAAGGGGUCCGUCGGGGAAUCGUCGGAGCUUGCGUCGCGGUGGGGAUAGAUCAUUGAAACUAUUGUUCUCGAACUAGGAAUUCCUCGUAGGCGCGGGUCAUCAACCCGCGCCGAUUACGUCCCUGCCCUUUGUACACACCGCCCGUCGCUCCUACCGAUCGAACGGUCCGGCGAGGACUUGGGACGGGCCGGCUACCCCGUGCGG
rnacentral:rRNA from 1 species